rnacentral:rRNA from 1 species
AAAGUUUGAUCCUGGCUCAAGAUGAACGCUGGCGGCGUGCUUAACUCAUGCCAGUCAAACCAAGCACUUUAUUUGAUUUCCUUCCGGACUGAUUAUUUUGUGACUGACUGGCAGACGGUUGAUUAAAUUCGCGCUACCCUGCCUUGUACAGGGGGAUAACAGUUGGAAACGGCUGCUAAUACCGCAUAAGCGCACAGCAUCGCAUGAUGCAGUGUGAAAAACUCCGGUGGUAUAAGAUGGACCCGCGUUGGAUUAGCUAGUUGGUGAGGUAACGGCCCACCAAGGCGACGAUCCAUAGCCGACCUGAGAGGGUGACCGGCCACAUUGGGACUGAGACACGGCCCAAACUCCUACGGGAGGCAGCAGUGGGGAAUAUUGCACAAUGGGCGAAAGCCUGAUGCAGCGACGCCGCGUGAGCGAAGAAGUAUUUCGGUAUGUAAAGCUCUAUCAGCUGGGAAGAUAAUGACGGUACCUGACUAAGAAGCACCGGCUAAAUACGUGCCAGCAGCCGCGGUAAUACGUAUGGUGCAAGCGUUAUCCGGAUUUACUGGGUGUAAAGGGAGCGCAGGCGGUGCGGCAAGUCUGAUGUGAAAGCCCGGGGCUCAACCCCGGUACUGCAUUGGAAACUGUCGUACUAGAGUGUCGGAGGGGUAAGCGGAAUUCCUAGUGUAGCGGUGAAAUGCGUAGAUAUUAGGAGGAACACCAGUGGCGAAGGCGGCUUACUGGACGAUAACUGACGCUGAGGCUCGAAAGCGUGGGGAGCAAACAGGAUUAGAUACCCUGGUAGUCCACGCCGUAAACGA